rnacentral:rRNA from 1 species
CCUACGGGUGGCAGCAGUGGGGAAUUUUGCGCAAUGCUCGUAAGAGUGACGCAGCGACACCGCGUGAAUGACGAAGGCCUUCGGGUCGUAAAGUUCUUUCUACAGGGAAGAAAAUGCCUACAAGUAACUGUGUAUGUAUUUACGGUACCUGUAUAAGCAGCCUCGGAUAACUCCGUGCCAGCAGCCGCGGUAAUACGGAGGGGGCGUGCGUGGUUCGGUUUGACUGGGGGUAAAGAGCACGUAGGCGGUGUUGUAAGUCAUUAGUCAAAGACUAGAGCUCAACUUUAGUAAGGCUAGUGAUACUAUAAUACUAGAGUAUCAGAGAGGAAUGCAGAAUUCCUGGUGUAGCGGUGAAAUGCGUAGAUAUCAGGAGGAAUACCGUUAGCGAAGGCGGCAAUCUGGCUGGAAACUGACGCUGAGGUGCGAAAGCGUGGGUAGCAAACAGGAUUAGAUACCCGUGUAGUC